UUUCCUGUGGCUGAAGUGGUAGGGCAUUACGCCCACAGCGCAAAGGUCAUGGGUUCAAAUCCCAGGGCAAAA